AACAGUUGGAAUGGAUCUUUAUGGCUCGGGCAUGGACUGCCUGUUUUUUGACAAACACUGAAGUACUUGGUAUUUUGGGCAUGGCACUGUGAUUUGCUCAUAGUGCCAGAAAUUAGUUUUUGCUUUGAAGGUCAUUGAUUAACUUAAUGAUGAACACUGUCCUAAACAAAGAACCUAACCAAGACUUCAAGAUGCAAAAUAAUGCAUUACAAUCAAGCAGGAACUUUUAAACCAGGAUAGUAAUCAUUUGCAUCAUCUGCAUUGUGUGCACUGCAGGAUUUGCUAUUUUCUUUCAUAAGUAAACAAAGAAACAAGAAUUCAAAAAGUUGCUCUAACGAUAAAGAAUCAGCCGGGUGCUUGCGAUUGGUUUACUUAAAGGGAUAGUUUACCCAAAAAUGAAAAUUCUGUAAUCAUUUACUCACUCUCAUGUUGAUACAAACCUGUAUACAUUUUGUUGUUUUGAUGAACAGAAAGGACGAUAUUUUGAGAAAUGUUUGUAACCAAACUGUUCGUGGACCCCAUUCACUUCCAUAGUAGGAAAAAAUAAUACUAUGGAGGUAAAUCCAGGUAUUGUGAUCCCCCUGUAAUUGGAGCAGAGGCUGAGUUCUCCCUUCUUGGGUAUCUGUAGCCCUAUUUCCAAUCUGCUGGAAUCUCCUCCUCUUAUCAUAUCUUCCCAAACAGGUCGUAAAGUUUUUCUGUUGAUAAGUUUGGGGCUGCCUUCACUGCCUCUGCUGGAAUCUCAUCUGUUCCUGGUGCCUUCUCAUUUUUUAGCAAGCGGAUUACAUUCCUAAUCUCUACUCGAGUUGGCCUGUUGCAGUUGUUAGGGAGAUCUGAUUCAUUCUCUGGAAUUUCUGGUGGGUUCUCUGUAGCUGGUCAAAUGGUCCUUGUCUUUUACUGGUCUACUUAGAUGUGAGCACUUUCCUUGUAGUGUCAUACCGUUGCUAUAUAUUUCCUUUUGCUGCUGUUUCUUCUGCCUCCUUAGCAAGUCUCUCAAUAAACUCCCUUUUGUUUCACAUUACUCUCCUCUUCACUUCCCUGUUGGCUUUAUUAUACUCUUCCUGUGCUUUAGCUUUUGACACUCUUGUGCGACUGUUGUUUAAGGCUGCUUUUUUUCUUCCUGUCUACAAUUUUCUUGUUUGUCUCAGCUGACAUCCAGUCCUUCUGUUGUGAUUUUCUUCUACCCAGGAUUUCAUCACAGGUUCUUUGAACAUCUUCCACUGACUCUCUAAAUCUCUAAAUCUGUUGGACAUCUUAAGCUUAAAUUCUUCUUGAAUAAAACUGUCCUUCAGAAACCUAGUGUUGAAUCUUGCUUUCCUUCUUUUGGCUUCUGUAUAGUUCUUCUUAAAUUUCAACUUCACAUACCUGCUACAAGAUGAUGGUCAGAUCCAGUGUGACAGCACUGCUUUCCAUAAAUUUUGACAAUUUUCCUGUUUCCUCUUUUCAACCGCUAAGAAGCUGCUGUCUUUGUUUGACCUGUCACUAGGAUUUAGGUCCUGCAUAGCACCUAGCUCUGACACAUGGGUGAUUAAUUGUGUUUAAAUUUGGUGUCGCUAUUGUUUCUACUAUUUAAAAUGUUUAUAUCUUAAUUAUAUUCAUCAUGAAUCACAAGAUGCCAUAAUGAAUUUUGUGUAUAUACAGGACUUUGCAAAAGUCCUAGGCAACCGCCACCAGCUUUGUUGUUUUAGCACAAUUUUAAUGUCUGUCAUUUAUUUUUCACUUUUUAUUAAGAUACAAACAGAAAAUACAGGAAAUAUGUACACAAACCUAAAAAACAAAACAAUUUACUAAAUGUAUUUUUCAGACAUCAGUCAGUAUUUAGUGUGACCUCUCUUGGCACGAAACACAUCUUGAGCUUUUUUAAGGAAACUGAAGUCAUUUGGUUAGAAUAAAAAAUUAGGAUUUAAAUUAAGAGAUCCUGCAGCUGCCUGCUAUGCUCAAGUGAAAGGUGAGUUUACCCUUAAUACUUGACACUUCAACUUAUAGUUUUAUACUGUUUUAAAUACUAUAUACACAUUUCCUGUAUUUUCUGGUUGUAUUAAUAAAGAUACUGAGAAAUAAAUAUAUAUGAUCACUAAAGCAUUGCAAAAAAUCUAUUAAUGGCAUGGAGGCCUAAGACUUUUUUACACAGUGCUGUAUAUCACAAAUUGUUUUCUGAGUGAUUUCCUGUUGAUUGAAUUAGCAGUCUCCUGUUAUUGUAAUGUGUGUGGGUGUGAAAGAGAAGGAGAGGGAAUUAGUUUUUCUCUAUAUGAGUGCCAGUUCUGUUAUGCUGUCAACACUGUUACUCUACUAAUAGAGUUUGACAGUCACACACAAGUCCUAAAUAUCUGAAUAAAUGUAAAUUCUGUUGCUUAUAUAAGUUUGUUUAGGGCGUAUUCGUUCAUUGACAGCUGAUACUCAAAGGAUAGGGCUUGGCUCAUGCUUAGAAGACUCCAAGGGAGGAGAACCACACCUGCGCACAGCGCUGUCCAUGGGAGAGGUUUCACAAUUUGAAAAACGAAACAGAAACUUAACAUUUCGGUUUCUUUUCUGUUAAAUUUGAAGCAGUGCAAAUUUGUUUGGUUUAAAAAUUUGUUUUGGAACAUUUUAGUUUUGUGUUUAUUUAGUUUUUUUAUUUUUGGAAAGUCGUUUAAGUUUGUUAACUAAAAUAACCAGCUUUAUUUUGCAAAGUCCCACAGAACUUUAGGUUACAGUCGGAAAAGCGAAUUUUAGAAAGAUCACUGAAAAAUUAAGGAGGAGGAGCAGUUUAACCAGAUGAAGGAGAGAAUAAUGAUGCACUACAUGGGCUUAGCCUAUUUAAAAACUCAGAACUGAGUUCAGAACUUUAUGAGGCUUAAACAUCUGCCCUGAUCCAGUAUUCAUUUGGGCUCUGAAGUCAUUUGUUUUUUUUGUACUGCUGAGGUGACAUGAAUGAUUUUGUUGCUGCCAUGCCACCAAAACCAAGAAAGGAACCUGAUGAGAGCACUAUGCCAGAUUUGGAAAAGGGUCCAAUGGGAGAAAGUUCAGAACAAAAAGUGCAGCCUGUGACUCGUCCCAUGGCUGUGGAUGAUACUAUCUUUUCUCUGACAGAAAUGUUCAGGUCCUUUAUGGAAUGUCUUAAGGAACAUGAGAAUCAACAAGACAGCGAAACAGUAAGACAAGAACAAAAUUUCAAAGUGCUUAAUCGCCACAUCGCCCAAAUGCAACUGGAAAUAGACCGUAUUCGUCUUGAAGCCAUCUCUGACAAGCCAGUGCCAAGGGUGACAGACCAGGAGUUGUGUUUAGCAAGACUUAAGGACACAGAUGAUAUUGACCACUAUUUGUUAACAUUUGAGAGACUGGCUGAGACGUACCAGUGGUCUAAAGAAGACUGGGCUAGUUAUCUAAAACCGUUCCUUACCGGUGAGGCCAGAUCUGCAUUUGUUGCAAUGGACCCUGUACACGCACAAGAUUAUGAUUCUGUAAAGACAGCAAUCCUGAAAAAGUAUGAGAUCAGAGCGGAGACUUUUAGACAGAGAUUCCGUAACCUAAAUACCCCCGUUGAUGAAUCACCACAAGAGCUUUACACCAGGCUGAAAGACUUAUUUUGCAAGUGGGUUAACUAUGACAGCAGUACGAAAAAAGAUAUUAUGGAGACUCUCGUGCUGGAGCAGUACCUACAAGUCUUGCACCCAGAUGUAAGGACUUGGGUCAAGGAGGGUGAUCCAGCUACUGCUGAAGAAGCUGCUAGCCUCGUUGAGGCAUAUAUCAAAGCCCGUAAAGGAACAGGCAGCCUCUGCUAUGCAGGCGUCCUGUCUUUAACUAGAGGAUUUGCAUCCCCUGGUCAGAGCUUAGCUGACAAAUCCUUACAGACUGCAUCAUUGACAGCUGUUUCAACCUCAGCUCCUCUUUCUGGUUUAGGUGACAAGUUUAGGGCACCUGGAGGCUCAUGGAUCUGUGGCACUUGCCUGGUACAAAACGUGUCAUCAGAUAAAAAAUGCGUGUUAUGUCAUGAACCGCAACCAAACAUAGAAACUGCUUCUAAAUUGGACAGCAAACCUGCAGAUGGCAUGGUGAGCCUCAGUUCCCUCUCUGAUUUUCCGGCUGGUAGCUGGGUUUGUGACACAUGCAUGGUCAGGAACAAACCAGAUGUGUUUAAAUGUGUAACUUGUGACACGGACAAACCUGGGACUGUUGUAAAAUCCAGCAUGACGUUACCGCCUCUGCCUGAGGUCUCAUCCGGUCCUUCUGCUGCUUCCUCUCCAUCUUUUACCAUUACCACCACCACUUCUACAGGGACUGGAAUGUUAGGAUUUGGGGACAAAUUUAUAAAGCCAGAGGGUUCUUGGGACUGCAAUGUGUGCAUGGUUCAGAACAAGGCACAGGAUGUAAAAUGUGUAGCCUGUCAGAGCGCUAAACCAGGAGCGGUAGCGGCAGCAGUCCCAAACCCUGCACCUGCAAGCACGCCUGCACCUUUGUUAGGAUUCAGAGACAAAUUCAAGAAACCUGAGGGGAGCUGGGAGUGUGGCGUGUGCUGUGUUCAAAAUAAGACUAAUGAAUGGAAAUGUAUUGCCUGCUUGUCAGCAAAACCGUCCGAAGGUUUAAGUUCAUUUUUUGGCAUUCAAUCCAACAGUACAGACUCAAGCUCUUCUUCCUCUUCCACGGGUGGAUUAAAAUUGGGCUCUUCUGACAUCACCUCAGAUUCAACAAGCUUUAAAUUUGGAGGCUUUUUCUCAGAUUCCACUUCAGGUGGAAUUAAACUUGGUAGCACCUCGUCAGAAACCACAACAAGCACAUCAGGUGGAUUAAAGUUUGGUGGUUCUUUGACUACAACUCCCGCAUCAGUGAGUGAAGAGAAAAAGACUGAAUCUCAGGAUUCCAGUACAGGACUUAAAUUUGGGGGUGCUGGUGGAAACUCAUUUGGCUCUCAAGCUGCUAGCUCUGAAAACUCUCUCUCGUUUGGUGCUAAACCUGUAGAGAAGGGAAGCUCCAAUUCAUUGUUUACAUACUCAGUACCCCUGUCCAAAGUAGAGAAAGAUAGUGCUCCUGCUCCCUUCAAACCUGUUUUGACCACCACAACAUCAGCAGCAUCAGCAAACACCAUUCCUGUUUUAGGAAAACCAUUAAGAGUUGAAUCUAAACUAGCUGCCCCAAAAUUUGGGGAGUCUGCAACAACAGUGCCAACGAAAGUGAUGCCUAUCUUCACUUUUGAAAAACCAAAAGAUAAAAAGGAUACCUCUGUGCCUUUUGGUGCUUCGUUAUUCAUUGGAGCCAAUGAAGUUGAGAAAUCAACACCAUCAUUGGGCUUCGCUUUUGGCAAGCAAGACCCUCCGAAAGAUCUCCCCAAGCCUUUAUUUACAAUUGGUAAACCUGACGAAACAACAGGACCUCCAAAAUCAUCAUUUACUUUUGGGCAGAGUAUACCAGCUCCUGCUUCUGCUGCCAACCGAUCCUCUUUUAUUUCCAGUUCCCCACCAUCCUCUGACGUUGCAUCCAAACCUUUGUCCUCGACCACAAUCUCCCCAGUCCCUGCAUUCGGAGCCAAACCAAAUUUUUUCCCGGUGUUCGGUCAGAAACCCAACCCUGCACCUACAUUUGGAUUAGCUGCUGCCUCCACAGGCCAAGGAGGAUUCCAGUCUGCCUUUGGGGCUGAAGCGCCAGGUUUAUCAACUUCUACGGCCAGUCCAGCCAUGCCUGCUGUAAAUGCUCCCUCCAGUGGAGGCUCUAACUUUGGCCAAACCCCUGCAUUUAACACUGGGUCAACAAAUAUUUUUACGGUGACACCAUCUGCACAGAAUUCAACUGCUGGAUGCAAUCAAAGCUGACCGAAGACAGCAAACAUGGAACAUAACGCAAUACAAUCAAGCAAGAUUUUUUAAAACGGGAUAGUAAUCAUUUGUAUCAUCUGUAUUGUGUACAGGAUUUGUUAAUUAAAACAAAGAAGCUAGAGCUGGUUUACUUAAUAUGGGGAAGACUGAUCUGGUGGCUGAAUCUAUACAGAGGAGUGUGCUGUAUCUGUGUACUGAAUGAUUUGUGUGUUUUCCUGUGCACAGGUUGUGUGCGUAUGUGUGGUGUCUUUGUAGGUGCCGAACUGUGUUUGAUGUUAAAACCUGGCCUGUGCUCCUGAAUGCUUUCUGUCAUGUGAGAAGCAAUAUGUAUGUGUUUUAAGUCCACUGCAGUGAUUUGCAGCCAAGAAAGAAAGAGUUCAAAAUAUGUUCAUGUUUUUUUUUAUAUUUUGUGGCUCUACCAUCUCAGUCACUUUUGUAAGUCACUUUGGAUAAAAGCAUUUGCUAAAUGUAAUAUAUUAGAAAAGAGUCCCUACACUGUUUACUAUACUAUAAGAGUGACUGUAAAUAAAAAUAGAUUAUAAAUGCAUUGUUAUUAUUUUACUUGUAUGAAAUAUAAUGGUUUAAAAUAUGUCAAUAUUGUAGUCUAUUUUUAUUAGAAGUUACUUGCAGAGAAUACUGUAGGUGGUUUGGUGUGUUUUUCCAUGUCAUCAUGAACAUGCACCAGAAGUUUUGUAUAGUUUUUCCAGCUGCAAUAUGUAGUUUUAUUGCAGUGUUGCUUGACCUGUCAUUCGUUUCUCAAGGAUUUGUAUUACCUGACAAACUCACACCCCUGGUUUUAGUGUCUUUAAAUCACUUUUUUUUUACUUUUCUGCAGGUUGAAGAGAUGAAAACAAGAAACCCUAACUGUAAACUAAAUAGGAACUUUAAUGGAAGCUAUGUUAAACGAUCUCUGUGGGUCUUUACUGGUAAUAGAUUUGCUUGAUUUGGUGGAAUGUUAUCUGGUGGAUAACCAGCAAAAUACCUUAAACCCUUAUGGUAAUGGUUUUAUAAUGCUGUUUUUAAUUGAAAUGUAAUGUAAAUGUCUGCAAAAAAAAAUGAAAUCAUUGGAAUUUUUAUUUCAAGUGUCUUCUACUCAAUAUUUUACCUAAUGAAUAAAAUUAUAUUAUUUUGAU